UAACGCGAAGAACCUUACCAGGUCUUGACAUCCCGCUGACCGCCUUGGAGACAAGGCUUUCCCUUCGGGGACAGCGGUGACAGGUGGUGCAUGGUUGUCGUCAGCUCGUGUCGUGAGAUGUUGGGUUAAGUCCCGCAACGAGCGCAACCCUUGAUCUUAGUUGCCAGCAUUCAGUUGGGCACUCUAAGGUGACUGCCGGUGACAAACCGGAGGAAGGUGGGGAUGACGUCAAAUCAUCAUGCCCCUUAUGACCUGGGCUACACACGUGCUACAAUGAACGGUACAAAGGGCUGCAAACCCGCGAGGGGGAGCCAAUCCCAGAAAACCGCUCUCAGUUCGGAUUGCAGGCUGCAACUCGCCUGCAUGAAGCCGGAAUCGCUAGUAAUCGCGGAUCAGCAUGCCGCGGUGAAUACGUUCCCGGGUCUUGUACACACCG
rnacentral:rRNA from 1 species